CCGGCCACAGUGCUUGGGGACACACCGGGAUGGGAAGCAGAGCCUACUUUGGAAGAGCUCCCAGUCAGUCGGGUGGAGGAGCAGGUUCUGUCAUGAUGAAUGGAUCCAGUGUGGCAAAUACAUCACCCAGUGUAAAAUCCAAAGAGGACCAGGGGUUGGAUGGGCAUGAUGAGAAGGAAAACCCAUUUGCAGAGUACAUGUGGAUGGAGAAUGAAGAGGAUUUCAACAGACAGGUGGAGGAGGAGCUGCAGGAGCAAGACUUUUUGGACCGUUGCUUCCAGGAGAUGCUGGAUGAAGAAGACCAAGACUGGUUUAUUCCAUCACGAGAUCUGCCUCAGGCCAUGGGACAGUUGCAACAACAGUUAAAUGGACUGUCGGUUGGCGAUGGUCACGAUUCUGAAGAUAUUUUGGUACUCAGUGAAUUGAAAAAUUAUCUUUGGAGUCAAACUUACAAGCCUCUAAUGAAAACGUCAUGAAGGGAACAGGAGUCUAAAGCAGGAAGGAGAAGAUGAGAUUGGUCGGGGCUUAGUAUGUCAGGAGCCGUUGCAAGCAGCCCAGCAAAAACAGCCUGAGUUGCAAGAAAUUCUCUUUUUUUCUCUCCUUGAGGCUGAGAGGAAGAGCAAAAGUAACCUGAACCCGGAUGCCAAGGAAUUUAUUCCAGGAGUGAAGUACUGAGCUGACAGAAAGCUUUGAGGAGGACUUGUGUGUCCCCACAUCUGGGGACAGCGCUGCACAAACAUGCGGAGCUGAAGAGGGGGGUGGGGCGGGCGGGGUGCACAGCGGGGAGGGGAACAGUGGUUUAACUUGACACUGUGACUGGAGUAACUAAUGUGCUCAGUCUUUCUCUGCAAGCCUCUGAGUGUUUCCCUUUUGUUCUACUGACUUUCACUUGGAGGAGUUUUCUAUUAUUAUUACUAGAUUUUUGAGUUAAGGAAAUUGUAAUCUUUUUUUUCCCCUCCAUCAGGAAUGUUCUGCUGUGUGUGUUUAAACAAAAUAAGCUGACCAAGAAAAUCUGGGUGUUUAAGAAUGCCCUUCUCACCCUGCUGUAUACUUACCAAGGGCAGUGAACACCUGGAGAACUACUUAUCAAGUCUGUUAAGCUGCACGGCAAGAGGGACAAGUGGAAGUAGCAGGCGUUACAAACCAGAGUACACCGCUCAGCUCCCCAGACCCUUGGGGUUUCCUGCCAUGACCUGGGAUUAUCAAUGGCCUGUGAGCCCAUGUCUCCCUGCCCUGAACCGUAACACAGACUUAACAUACUGGUUCUCAGUAGCUCUUUUGGUGGUUGGUGAAAGUUGUAAAUCAGAAGGGGAGGACUGUGGUGGUGAUUGUCACUUGAAUCAUUCAGUUACUGUUGGCCUACUCUUAAGCCUCUGUUUACAGCUACCCUCAAACUCGUCCUUUACAAGGUAAAAGAGCACUAAGGUGGAUUUGCCACUUUGCCCCUCGUGGUGUCUGGUCCCUUGUGUCCUUUCCACUCCAACCUUACUCUCUUUUUAAGAAAAGAUAUUGUUACCAAAGGUAUAUGAGAGGCAAGCUGUGUUGGCCAUCAGCUUCAGGCUGGGGAAGUCAUCCUUGAAUCCUGUUAGUUAUAUCUUAAGUUUGUUUUGACAGUUUUUUCCCAGCCCCAUGAAGACUUUGUCCUCUUGGUAUCUUACUUCCCUUAGAAAGGUUUAUACACUUUUACAAGUAAAUAUAUUUUUCAGGACACUAGCAAGAAGCUACAGUCACUGUGUGGAUGCUUCUCCCCACCUUACAGAAUUAUGCAGAACAACUCAAAAUAAGCCCAGGAGAGUGAGUCCUGCUUGAACCAGCUGACUGUGUAACCCGCCAGAAUGGUUUCAGCAAUUACAAAGUUUUGCCAUUCCCACACACCCAGCUUUGCAAGUUUUCUAGGUGGGGCUCUCUGGGUAUGUUCCUUUUAUCUUUUCUGCCUAUAAGUCACAUGAGUUUUUGUUGAUACUCACGAGGAACUAAAGUGGGCACCAGGAGCUGCCUUUGUGUGACAGUGAUGUAGGUGGCAAAGUCAGGUCUAAAAGAGAGCGUGUCUGUCCAGUCCUGGCAUUCUCCCAGGACAAGGACUUGCAGAGGCCUGAGGAGGACAGUGGCUUCUGUGUGACUGCCACUGUGUUGUGUGAUAGGCCUAACAGGAAAAGAUCAUGUAACUUGAAAUAAAGUCUGUGCAAAUUCAGUAUGUGGAUGUGGGACAGAGGUUGGAAGGAGAGGACUAGGGUCUGGAAAGCUUAAGAAUUUCUCCUUUUUCUUAUGAGCUCCCUUGUUGACCUUUUAACAGCCACAGGCUAAUGUCUGAUUUCAAAUAUGAACCCACAUCUUUUCCUCAUUUUAUAGGAUGGCAUCGUUUGGAAAAUGACCUUCCUUGUUAGGUCACAUAUCAUAGGAGAGUAGCUUAGGGAGCUGGUAUUGCCAGAUGUGCACAUUAGUUCCCAAAGCCUCUACCUCAAGAGAAUGGAACUCUUUAACUCAUUUUCAGGAAGGGCUGUGAAUAAAGAAACUUUAUUCCAGCUUCAGCUUUCAGAUGGGGUUGUUUCCUCUAAGGAGAGGGCCUUGGAAGUGCAGAAAUAGAGGUCUCGCUCUUCUGGGGCUGCUUUUCCUCCUUCAGUCUCCAUUAGCUUGUCCAAGCUCGGAAUUCUAAAGGCUGUUAGAAAUGCAUUGGGAUUGCAGAAAAAGCCUUUUCUAGACCGUAGGUGUCUCCAUCACCAACAGUACAAUGGAGUCUUGUGUGGCUCCUGGUCUGGAGAGUCCUACAGGGGUCCAGAUCGAGCUGUUUCUUCAUCUGAAGAAGGCUUGCUCUUCUGACACCGGGAUAGGCUAAGAUGUCAGGUGCAGUCCAAAGGGUUUGACUUCCCAUCUGCUGAGGGCUUCCGUCUUAGAUGUCAGUCUUCAGUAUUGUUUCACAGGCAUGUUUGGUCAGGACUAAGCUUCCUGCCAGACGAGCAGUGGAACCUAGAGGCUGGACUUUCCAGUCCUAUUCAGACACACAGUGUGCUGACUCUGGGAUCAGGAAUCAGCUAGCAAUGUGACCCCGUUUUUAAUGCGUAGGCUUGUGCUUCCAGUGGUUCCUCUUGUAGCCCAACUCUUUUCUCCAUCUAUUUUAUGUUGUGAGGUGGGAGCCCAGUUGUCACCCAGAUCACAGGCUCAGCUUUAGUUGGAGUUUGCCAACUCCUUAGCAGAAAAUGCAUGUGGAUCUUGUUGGACUUUUCACUGGGGAAAGUCUGGGAGCCUCUGUCUCAGACUUUUUCUCCCAGGAGAGGUUCUGGGCGCAAGCCCAGCUGGACACCUUUGCCCUUUAAGGGUGAGGCUGGUAUUUGUAAGUGAUCAUUUGAUGUUGAGUUUAAGCCACUACCCUGUUGAAACUUUUUUAUUGGCAAGUUGAAAUUUGAGAAUUUGUGUAGAAGCAGAAUAUGUAUUUUUAAUAAUUGCCAAUUCUGGCUGGUCCCAGUGUUAGUUUAUUAAUGAUUGAUUUCUGAUUUUUGUGAUUAUUGGACUCUAAAACUCCAAGAUGAAAACCAUUUUCUCUCUUCCACUUCAAGGGGGAAGAAAGAAAUAAAGGCAAUGCCUUUUCAGUUUCUCCCGGCCUUUAACUGCAGAGAACUGGAUGGAUUUAGCCCAGGCCUGAGCACCUGCAGCUUUGGGGCCAUGGGCCAGUUUCUGACUGCAGCACUUGACUUGUGGGGAACAUAUAAGGCCAAACCAAAAAAGAUCAUAAGGAAAAGGCUGGACCUUUGCAGCACCUGUAGUUUCCAAAGUCAGAACAGCUGGGGUCUCUUUAGAUAAGGCUAUAAUGCCAACUACGGCUUAAAAGAUGUUCUUAGUGAAACACCAAGCAGUGUUUCUAAAAUCAUGUGUUACUAUAAUGUCAAAGUUCUGUGUUGAUUUUGGAGAGGCUGGGAAGUAAGGAGGUCACUUGAACACUCUGGGAAUUAAUAUAUGUCAGACAGGAAAGAUGUGUGAAGGAGUAGUCAAAGGACACAGUUUGACUGAAAUUUCUUGCAUUAGGGCUGCUGAAAACCCCAUGUCGAAACAUCAUGGGGAAUCUACCCUGCUGUGAUUGGAAGAGGCAAGUAUUCUAGAAGGACCCCAGCAUGACGGGUUACUAAUGUUUCUUGGUUUGGUGAUGUUACAGUAUGGGAACAGGCAGAGACCUGGCAGAUUUGACCAUGAUUUGGAGAUGUGCACCUAUUGGGUAAGACUGUAUAUCCCCAGCCACUCUCUGGGAUAAUGCAGACCUCAUUGGUUUGGGAAGUGGGUGGAGAGAACAGGAGGAUUGAUCUGGUCUGGUGUGCUUUGGGAGCCUUGCCUCAGCCCACAGUUCCCGGUGUAAAUCAUGGCCAUCCUCAUUGCCCACAGGGAUCAUUAGUUCUCCUGGCUCCACCCUGUAAAGUAUGCAGAGUACUUCCUGUGGCCACUGCUCUACUGCCUUGUAAAUUUCAUCCACAGACUUUGUUAGUUACAACUUUGAGAGAGUCCCCCUCCCACCCCCGCUUUGUUUUUAAUCUUCUGUCUUUAUUGCUCCCAUCUGGAAGCUGCAAUUGGUGACAAAGGAUAGGGGAGUAGGAGGCAGACCGAACAAGAUACUCAAGUCUCCUUCUUGCUACUUGGCCUUCAGCCCUUACCACCCAACCUCCUACUGCUGUCCCCAGUCAGUCUAGUUUUGAGGGGGGGGUCAUACCAAUAGGACAGCUGAGUACUAUACACUGAUCUCUAGGGUGUCAGCUAAGAGAUUCACCACCCUACCCCUAGGGGACAGAAGAGAAAUCUGCUAAGGGACAGAUGCACCAUCUUUACUCUAAAAGAAAAAGCCCCCUUAGAUUUGUCAUUAAUAGGAGUCUCCUUUGUGAGAUUUUCUGAGAUUUCUUUCCCAGUCCUACCUUCUUACUGGCUACCUUUUAUUUUAAAAUAAUGAAGAAACAUUCUAGCUAUUUGCUGUAAAAUAGGACAGUGUUUUCACUCUGUAACUCAACACUAAGUGAUAAUCCUGCCCCAUUGAUUGUGAACCUUCAGAAAUGUUUAAUGCUUGAUGGGUGGUUUGGGAGGCAAGGACUUUUUUUUUUUAACCAACUUUAUUUAGGCAUAUUUUACGUAUCAUAAAAUUCACUCAUUUCAAAUGUACAAUUGAGUGAUUUUAGUAACUUUCCUGAGUAGUGCAGCCAUAACCAUACUCAGUUUUAGAACAUUUUCAUCCCCCUGCAAUAAGAUCCUUCAUGCCCAUUUACAGGAUAAUCUCUGUUCCCAGCUCUAAGCAACCACUAAUCUUCUGUCCCUAUAAAUUUGCCUUUUCAUAUCAAUGGAAUCGUAUAAAGUGUGGUAUCUUGAUUCUGGCUUUUUUGACGUAACAUAUUUUUUCAGGUUCAUCCAUGACAUAUAAGGUGUGUUGGUAAUUUGUUCCUUUUUAUUGCCGAAUAAUAUCCCAUUGAUAGAUAAUACAUUUUGUCAGCAGGGAGUCUUUUAAACUUGGAUUUCAACCUCCUGUGGUCUGAAAGGAACCCUCAGAACAUAGAACUCACAGGGGAAGCUACUGUGCAUGUCAAAGGAACUACUUAUCAGAACCAGCUUUGUCAUCAGAAGCUCCACAUGAGGAGAUUGAACUGCUGCAGAAAUUUUUAUGAUAAUCUUGCAACUUUUUUAUAAGGAACUUUUGUGCUGUCUACAUAUCAGGACUUUUGAAGCAUCUGAUAAUUUAAUAAGUACGAGCAUGUGUUUGACCAGAAAGUGAAACCAUCAAUACUAUUUUGGAUAUUGUUUCCUCCUCGACUGGAUGGGGGAUCUCUGAGCUUUCCAAGUACAGUAUUGUCUUCGUUACAAAGCUGAACAUGUAUUAAGGAUCAUGCUGCUUUUGUCGGACUGAUUCGAAGGGAAGGAGGACAGCCAGCAGAGGAGGUCAAGAGGAGAAAGGGAGUAGAGUUUGUGGAACAAGAAGCCCCCAGGGGGGGUCUGUGCAUGGCCCACCCAUCUGUUGGUGUGGACGGUGAAGUGCUGAUGGUGUCCUGGGGCAGCCCAGGUCUUGACUUUGUACCUUUAUCCAUUUUGCAAGUGUUUAGAAGCUGGUUUUGUUCCUUACGUUUUUUUCCCUAAAUAAACAUUACAUGGUAGUUAUUUAAUACUUCUUUGGGGGAGGGGCAGGGCUUUAAAAUUGAAGAAAAUUUUCAUAAAAAUAUCAAAAAUGGAAAAAAGUUACUUUUUUAAAAAUUUGCUAUACAAACCAAAUGGCAGCUGUUGAAAAAUCUCAAUAAAAUGAGAAUAAAAUGCA